rnacentral:misc_RNA from 1 species
GCUCCUGAAAUUAUUUCCUCACCUGAAGGAAGGUGAACAAAUGAAUACAAUCCAGUCAAGCAAGUAAUGAUAUCAUUAUCUGCUUUCAUCAGUUUCAUGCACAUUAAUUACAGAGACAUGCAAAUACAAAAAAAAAGUAACAGAACUGAAAAUACAAAUAUGCAUAACCAACAGAUCACUCCAUUUAGCAUGUAAUAAUAUGCUUGUGAGAAGAUCUUGCAAAAGAAAACCUGCAUUUAUAUUUUGAUUUAUAAUAUCCCAAGAUACCAGAUGCAAGACAAAAAUUUGAAACAUAAAUUAAAAAAUGGCAAUGAGAAAGAACUUUCUCCUCUACCUCGAAUAAAGACAUCAAACGA